GCCGCGCGGGCGGCGGGCGGCUGCCGGGUCGGAGCGGGCGGUCAUCGCGGUCCCCUCGCGCUGGACUGGUUCCGGGGCCGGUGCGCGGCC
rnacentral:tRNA from 1 species